rnacentral:rRNA from 1 species
UCGCGCCGGUGUUGUUGUGAGAAGUUCAUUAAACCUUAUCAUUUAGAGGAAGGAGAAGUCGUAACAAGGUUUCCGUAGGUGAACCUGCGGAAGGAUCAUUG